CUUCUACCUACUCAGCUCCCCAAAAUGUCCUAUUUCCUUUCAUUUAUAGUAUUCUCUUCUGUUUUUCCUGCGAUCACAGACUGGGACAUCUUUGAAGCCCCCAUGUGAGCAAGCCUAGGCUGCCCAACUCCAGGAUGGAAGAUCGUGUGCAGCAGAAAUAAGCCAUCUUGACCGCGGCCAUCCUGGACCAGCCAACCAGCCCAUCUUACCAAAUACCUGAGCAUGGACACAUGAAUGGAGAAAUGGAGAUUCCUGAGUUUCAAAACUUGCUCGAGAUCACUCAACAAAUAAAUUUAAGAGCCA